UUUUGUAUGUUUGUGUGAAAGAUUAAGCCAUGCAUGUGUAAGUAUAAAUGGUUCCCAGUGAAACUGCGAAUGGCUCAUUAUAUCAGUUAUAAUGUGCUUGGGUGUUUAAUUUAUUUCUCGGAUAACCUCGUUAAUUGUGAGGCUAAUACGAGCAAAGAAGAUUAUUUUUUGUAAAGAAAAUAAUUUGACUUGAUAUUCAAAUAAGUUGUAUUAUUAAGCCAAAUAAGAGAAGAUGUUAGCAAUAAUAUUUUCUUUUUACUUGAAUAAUAUCAAUUUUUAAUAUCGUUGGAGUAAAUCUAAUGAUAACCCAAUUUGAUUUCUGCCCUAUCAACUUGUGAUGGUACUUUCGUGGCUUACCAUGGUUGUAACGGGUACCGGGGGCGUUGAGUCGGCUCCGGAGAGGGAGCUUGAGACACGGCUACCACUUCCAAGGAAGGCAGCAGGCGCGCAAAUUACCCAAUUCCAACAGUAUUAUUUGGAGAGGUAGUGACCACAUCUAUCAGGGGAAGAUAGUUUUACUAUUUUUUCAUUGAAAUGAUUGGUGUUUAAACUGUACCAAGAGAAACCAUUGGAGGACAAGUCUGGUGCCAGCACCCGCGGUAAUUCCAGCUCCAAUAAUGUAUAGAAAAGUUGUUGCGGUUAAAAAGCUCGUAGUUGAAUUUUUAAUUGAAUGUAUUUAAUUUUUAAUUUUUAUUAUUCUUUAUCUUAAGAAUAAUAUUUUAAAAAUUUAUUCAAUUAAUUUAUUUAUAAUGAAAUCUUUAUAUUAGCAAUAAUAUAAACAAAUAAAUUUUAUUUGAUUUUAAUUUGUUUACUCAAGUUUUAAUGAAAUAAUAAUUUAGAUUUCGUUGUUUUAUUACUUUGAAGAAAAUAAAAUGUUUAAAAUAAAUAAUUGUGUUUUGAAUAUCUUAGCAUGGGAUAAUAAAUAAUUCGUUAGAGCAAAGUUAUUUUGUUAUUUGGUUUUACUUUUAUACUUUGUUUUAGUUGAUUAAUAGGGCUAAUUGGGGUGAUUUAUAUUUAAUUGUUAGAGGUGAAAUUCUUGGAUUUCUGAAAGAUAAACUUGUGCGAAAGCAUUUCACAAAGAUGUUUUCAUUAAUCAAGAACGAAAGUUGGGGGAUCGAAGACGAUCAGAUACCGUCGUAGUCUCAACCAUAAACUAUAUCAACCAGAGAUUGGAUAAAUGUUAUCAAAUUAUUAGACUUUUUCAAGUUUAAUAAAUUAACUCAUCCAGGAUCUUAUUAAGAAAUUACAAGUGUUUGGAUUUCGGGGGGAGUAUGGUCGCAAGGCUGAAACUUAAAGGAAUUGAUGGAAGGGGAAACAAUGAGUGGAGCCUGCGGCUUAAUUUGACUCAACACGGGGAAACUUACCAGUGCCCGACAAGAGAAGGAUGGACAGAUUGAGAGCUCUUUCUUGAUUUCUUGGGUGGUGGUGCAUGGCCGUUCUUAGUUGGUGGAGUGAUUUGUCUGGUUAAUUCCGAUAACGAGCGAGAUCUUAACUUAUUAAAUAAAUCUAUCUAAUUUUUUUGAAUUAGAUUAUUUUUGAUUUACUUAAAAGAACUACUUUAUGUUUUUAAUUAAUGGAAGUUUGAGGCAAUAACAGGUCUGUGAAGCCCUUCGAUGUUCUGGGCCGCACGCGUGCUACAAUGAUAAGUGCAAUAAGUAAAGAAAUAAUUUUUAUGAAUUUAUUAGCAAUAAUGAAUUUUUAAUUUUUAUUUUAUUAUCGAAAGUGAGAACUUGAGAAAAUCUUUGUAAAACUUAUCGUGCUGGGGAUAGAUGAUUGUAAUUAUUGAUCUUGAACGAGGAAUUCCUUGUAAAUAAAAGUCAUCAGCUUUUGUUGAUUAUGUCCCUUCCCUUUGUACACACCGCCCGUCGCUCCUACCGAUUGAGUAGAUUGAUAAAAAGAGGAGACUUUGAUUAAUUUUCUUAAUUAAAUAACCUUUUUAAAUCACCCUAUUUAGAGGAAGGAGAAGUCGUAACAAGGUUUCC
rnacentral:rRNA from 1 species